rnacentral:lncRNA from 1 species
CUGUGCUAAUUUUCUCCAGGAUAAUACUACAAAUCGUAUUGAUUAAUGUCCACCCCCUUUUUGUAACGAUUUCUUUGAGAUUGGGAGUAGGGAACUGAAUGAGCUCACUUUAUUACAGCUAUCGGACCUAGCUUUGCCAACCGAAAGCCACUUGAGAGGAGAGACGUUUGUCUUCAUUGUUACGUCAUCUCCUGUGUAGCACAGUGGCUGGCACCACGUAGGAGGACAAAUCAUGCUUGUGGAGUGAGUGAAUAAUCAGAAAGCGUAGGUCCUGAUAAUAGAAGUUAAUGACUGAAAUAUCUACACUUAUUUAUUCCCUAACAUCCCUUGGGCACCUAACUCUUAGUUAGAUACUGUUUAAAACACUUAAAAAGUAUUACCUCACAAUUACUCUAUCCUAAGGUAGCAACUCUAUGAUCCCAGGUUUAUCAUUGUGCCACAGGCUUAGGAGGGAGGUCUGAACAAAAAUGCAAGAAAAAGGAACUUCUGUCCUCUAAGCCACGUCGUUGUAAAGAUGCAGCAUACCUCUCAGAAAUUUAAGUUAAUAGAAACAAGCACUACAUGCUAAUGUACAUGGAAUGUGUGACUAACAGAGAAAAAGUGAUACUGUGAGGAUGUAAAAAGUGAGCUAACUCGAAAAGUCCUCAAGAAGUAGUGUUAAUGUCUCAACUAGAGUGCUUCAAGUUGGAAACAAUUUUCAACUGGAGAAAUGUGCCCAGUCUGUUGGUGAAGAGAAAGCACAGGAGAGGUCAGAUUAUUUAAUAUAGAAUAAAGUAAGCAUCAGCUAACCAGCCUCUAAAAGAUGAACCUACUUGAGAGAGGAGAGAACAUCAAAGGCUGCAAUAUGCUGAGCUUUCUAAGAAAACUGCUUUGAAGGGAACAGGUUUUGCUUGGAUGGUUCAACCCCUAGACAGUCCCCUACUCCCUCUCCCAGUGCAGAACAACACGUGGAUUGCUCAGUACAACUUUUUCAUCACAUCCUCCUGUUCACUGAAGAAUUAUGGAAAUAUUCUCUGAGCUGCUUUCCUCCCUGCCCAACGAGUCAUCUCUGUGUGAAAGGCCAAGCUUAUAAAUCCUGCUGUCCCCUUGACAUAUCUUGGCAAGAUAAAUGCAAUGUGGUAAUCAAAUCAGGUGCUGGGCUCCGAGGCCCCAGAUGGAGGGUCAUGAGUCAGUCAUCAUUCCUUGGUCACUCCUGAUGGCAACAAGCAAUGAAAACCCAUCUUCAAACCUCUUCAGAGGCACCAGCUGUUCCCUUUACCUCUUCUAGUGUGAAGGAUCCACAUCAGCCAAGUAUGAUAAUCUCCUCCUGCUGCUCUGUCA